GAUGAACGCUGGCGGCGUGCCUAAUACAUGCAAGUCGAGCGAACGGACGAGAAGCUUGCUUCUCUGAUGUUAGCGGCGGACGGGUGAGUAACACGUGGAUAACCUACCUAUAAGACUGGGAUAACUUCGGGAAACCGGAGCUAAUACCGGAUAAUAUUUUGAACCGCAUGGUUCAAAAGUGAAAGACGGUCUUGCUGUCACUUAUAGAUGGAUCCGCGCUGCAUUAGCUAGUUGGUAAGGUAACGGCUUACCAAGGCAACGAUGCAUAGCCGACCUGAGAGGGUGAUCGGCCACACGGGAACUGAGACACGGUCCAGACUCCUACGGGAGGCAGCAGUAGGGAAUCUUCCGCAAUGGGCGAAAGCCUGACGGAGCAACGCCGCGUGAGUGAUGAAGGUCUUCGGAUCGUAAAACUCUGUUAUUAGGGAAGAACAUAUGUGUAAGUAACUGUGCACAUCUUGACGGCACCUAAUCAGAAAGCCACGGCUAACUACGUG
rnacentral:rRNA from 1 species